GGAGAUAUUUCUCGAUUUGUG
rnacentral:snRNA from 1 species